CAGGUUCUUUGGGGUUAUGGAUGGUGGAGAAGGGUUAUGGAUGGAUGUAGUAGUGUUUAGGGGAAGGGGAUGGUGCGGCAAAGGUGUGGAGAAGUAUUUGGACGAAUUUGUAGAGUGAAUGAAUGUGUAUGAGAGGUGGUGCCUUAAAGGGUGCAGCAAUGAGUUGUAUAUAUAGGCAGAAAAUCCCUCUCCUAGGUAGCAAAGGACAAGGUUUAAAAGACCUAAACUGCAUAGGAUAAUAACAUACAAUCCUACUAGGAAAACAAGUCAAAAACCCAAAAGGAAUGGGAGAUAAGGUGCAGCAGAAAGAGUGUGAAAUGAUAAGGCUUCUAGAAACCAAAAUCCCAAGGGAAAUAGGGUAGAAAAUUCGGCACAAAGGCUAGGGUUCUAGAAGAUAAUGCAAGGCAGAUUUUUAGGGGCUUCUAGAAAGGUUCUAGGCGCCAUUUAUGUAGGAUAAGAUUAGGUCUUCUAGAAAUCCCAUUUUAAGCAUCUUAAUCUAGUUAGAAACCCUCCUAAGUGGCUGGAAUGUGGAUAGUUUAGGAUUAGGAUAAGAUAGGAUAGGAUAAGGUUGGUUUGGAUAAGAUAAGCUAAGAUAAGGUUAUGGAUGAGGUUUUGGAUAAGGUUCCUUAUCUUGAGCUGAUUUUUUACUUUAACUCUUCUUCUUCACAUAGGAACCUUUGCUUGAGUAGGAAACUUCAUUCGUCUAGGAAUCCAUCUUCAAUUAGGACUCCUACAUUGAUUAGGAAUCCUUCUUCAUUUAAGAAUCCUUCGUUUAAGCCCUUUCCUACUUCAACUAGGAAACUUUGUAUCUUCAAUUCUUCAACUUUGAAAUGCCUUCCUAGCUUCAUCAAUCCUUCAAAUUCGUCCACCCCUUGUGCUUCGUAUGCAUGAACUCCAUUCUAGCCCAAUUUUGCUCCAAAUUGCAUCCUUUUGCUCACUUUGUCUCUAAAACCUGAAAACACAUGAAAAUAGCUUAAAAGACUACUUUAACUAAGAAAACACAACAUAAAUGCAUAAGAACUAGCUAACUAAGGCGCAUAAAUAUGCUCCUAUCAAAUUCCCCCACACUUAGCUUUUGCUAGUCCUCGAGCAAAACAACGAAACAAAACAUGACCUAAACCUUCCAACAAUCGCCUCAGGGAUUUCCAAUGGUACAUGACUUAUUAAAAAUCAUCAUUCCCAUAGAUUUUAGUCAUCUUCACACUUAAGCACAUACUUAAUCAUAGUCACCACGUACUAGUUCACAUAUAACCAUUUAAAACAUGAUUUUGAAUGUAGUAACAUGCCUUAGAGAAAUUGCUCAAGUCCUUACUAGAUAUGCACUCAAUUUUCACACAGAUUUUCGAACUCCACACCCUAUACUAGUUAUAUGUGAGAAGAUUGAUGUAAAUAUGAAAACGAACGCUCACAUAUAUGUAUAACAAAGAAAGCAUUUUCGGGAGUUAAUAAGCAUGUUUAAAUAUGAUCUCAUGAAUGGAAUGCUACUACUUCGAUGCGAGAACCAGCGACACCAUAUGCUCAUACCAAUGUUAAACUCCACAAAUUGAAACACAUAACACUCAAGAUUAAAGUAAAGGGUUGUAACGGGGCUUGGGGUAUUGGCUAACAAAGAAGGGUAAAGGAUAAACAAACGUUCUUAAAACAAUAGUAAGCAAAGCAAUGAAAUUGACACUUAGAAUUCACUUUAGAGUGCAGAAAACAACUUUAAACACAAAGGGGAAUACGCAUGCAUAUUUAGGGUCAAAUGCAACUUUUUGGACCCUUUCUUCAACAAUCAACACUUUUAGAACUCUUUUUCACAUCUUUUCAACUCUUUUUUCAUACUUUUCACAUUUUUUCUUUUUCUUUUUCUUUUUCCACGAAUUUCAUUUUUUUUUCUCUUUUUCAUGCCUCAUUCAAGACUUUGGCACACCCACAACAAAACUCACUUCCCCACACUUAUUUUUCUGCCAAUAAUGACCAAAAGGAAUUCAUUUUGAGUCAUUUAUUACUAUGCUUCAAGAACAAAGGUAUGGAUGGUCCUAAUCUAGGCUAGGUAAGGAUAAUGUGGGUUAACAAACAACAUAGGCUAAACAAGGCUCAACGGGGUUAAACCUACAAAAACAAAUGCAUGGAAUGAAGGCUUUUUGGCUAUGGUGGUACUACUAAACAACUUCAUCUUGAAUAUGUGUUAUGCAAUUCAAUAACAUGUUUUGAAUGACAUUGGCAUGAGUUCUAGUGUUUGGAACUAAAUGAUGAAACGCCUUCUAAGUAGUAACCAAGCAAAGAAUAAUGAGAUCAUGCAACGACUUUAGAAAAACAAGAAUGCACAAAUUUUUAACUCUCCAAAUAAACAUUUAGGCUCAAGUCUCACAAGGUUGUAGCGUUUGUUUGAGUUCCUUCCUUCAAGCAUGUUACAAAAACUGAUUUUUUUUCUUUAUGAUUACAUGUGAAGUCAUAAGUUAUAACCACAACCAAGCAUAAACCAAAGAGUAAAUCAAAUUUUCAUCCAUGUUUAUAACUCUCUUUAACAAUCAUGCAAUUACAAACCGAAUCCUCAUCAUUGUGUUGGAAGGUACCCUAAGACACAAACAAACACACAAAAACAACUUUAAACCGACUCUUUUUGGGUUUUUUCAAAACUUUUUCUAUUUUUUUUCUUGAAUUUUCGGAUUUUUUUUGGUAAAGCCACAUAAAAAACACAUCAGAACUUUCUAAAAAACACUUAAAAACAAUGAAAAACAACCUUUGAAAUGUUAGGUGGUAAAAUCCUACGAAUUUGACACACAAAACACACUUUGUUUACCCCCCACACUUAAACCAAACAUUGUCCUCAAUGUUUCAAACAUAGACUCACACAAGAACAAGCAAAUAUCACAACUAGCAAACAUGACAAAUAUGGCAAAGUAAAAGCAAUAUAGAGUAGGGUUUAGAAACGCAAAUCUGAUUAUGAUGCCGGAGCUUCCUAGGUCCUCUUUAGUUGCAUGGGUUGCCUCCCAAGAAGCGCUUGCUUUAACGUCUUCCAGCCGGACGAUGCUCCAUUGAAGGUUUAUGGAACCCCACAGCAUGGAGGGGUGUUUCCACAACCUGACCUACGAAAUACUUCAUUCUUUGGGUCCUUGAAUGGGAUGGGAUAAUGAUCCUUUCUAUUUGUCAUGUUUUGCUUCUCUAAAUCAACACGAACUCUCCCAUUACGUUGUCUUCGAUUUGGUACCUGCACCAUACAAGGUAACAACCUAUUAGUUGAAAUGGGAAUCGAAAUUGGAAUAGGUGGCUUACCUUUGUACGGCAAAGAAGUGGUAGCACUAUGGACAAAUGCACAAGGGUUGCACUUGGGCAGAUUUGAUGAUUUCAAGGUUGGGGCCGUGCACUCUUUGUUGUUCACUCCAAUUCCUUCCUCGAUGGUGGGUUGUGGUACAUUCUUGUUGACUAGUGUUGAACAUUCCUGCCCUAUAUUAUCAAUUACAUUAAUAGCACAACAAGAACGAACAUCAUUAGUAUUCUCAACCGAUUCAGAAAUCUUAAAGUUAAUCAUAUCACCACCAAAGGCCAUAGUUACUGCUCCCUUGGCCACGUCAAUCUUGGUUUGAGCUGUUUUCAUGAAAGGACGUCCAAGUAAGAGUGGUGAUGAUGGAGAGUGUACCGAAUCUUCCAUGUCAAGCACAUAAAAAUCUGCAGGAAAAAUCAAAUGGUCUACCUGCACCAAAACAUCCUCCAAAACUCCUUUGGGGUAUGCAUUAGAUCGAUCGGCUAAUUGAAUAAUAACACCAUCAUUUUUAAGCUUUCCUAGAUUCAUGGAUGCAUAAACAGAAUAUGGCAUGACAUUUAUAGAUGCACCUAAAUCUAACAUAGCAUUAUCAAACCUCGCAUUGCCAAUAACACAAGGGAUAGUGAAACUACCUGGAUCUUUGCAUUUAGGUGGUAACUUUCUUUGCAACAAUGCAGAUACAUUCUCACUUACGUGUACCACCUCUUUCUCCCGAAUCCGUUUCCUUGUUGUACAAAGCUUCUUCAAAAACUUGGCAUACUUCGGGAUUUGCUUUAUAGCAUCGAGGAGAGGGAUAUUGACAUGCACCUUUCUAAACGUCUCAAGAACGUCUUGUUCCUCUUCUUCGUUCUUGGCUUGCAAAAAUCUGCUAGGAAAGGGUACAUCCGGAGGAAUAACAUUAGAAUUAACUUGAAUUAUACCUUCCUUACCCUUAUUGGCUGAAUUGGAUAGCCUCGGUGGUUGCGGCAAGGAUUGCUCAAUCCUUGCCGUGGCCUUUGCUUGGUCCAUCUCCUCAAUUUGCAUCUUCUCGUCCUCCUUGGGGGCAGAUUUGGAUGGUUUUGUCUCGGUUCCUACUUCUUUUCCGCUUCUUAGCGUGAUAGCCUUUGCAGAUUCGAAUCCACCUUUCGGAUUGACCACCGUUGAGCUAGGCAACCUUCCUUGCUCACGAAAUUGCCCUAUGAACUCGGCAAUUUGUCCCACUUGCUUCUCCAAGUUGUCCCCUCCUAUCUUGGAUUUGCCUCUCUUUGGCUUGAGUUUGGACUUCUUGCGUCAAAGUAGUAAGUAAUUGAAAAAUCUUAUCAUUAUCACUUGAAUUACCUGCAUUGCUUUGGGCAGGUUGUGCUUGGGCUUGUGGUGGUGCCAACGGCUUUUGAUAGAAACCCUGGGGUUGUUGCCUAAAUCCACUUUGUUGUUGGCCUUGUUGGGGGUCUCGCCAGUUGAAAUUCAGAUGAUCACGCCAACCGGGAUUGUAAGUAUUGGAAAACGGAUCACCACGUGAUUGGUAUUGGUUGCCAUAUCCCACAACAUUGAGUGUCUCCCACCCUCCAUUCUCUAUCAAUUGGGGGCACUUGUCCGUAUGGUGGUUUUGCAUGGAACAUACGCCACAAGAAGCUACGGUUUUGACUUUUGAACCUUCCACCACCUGAGAAAGCAACAUAGUAAGGUUAGCCAUUUGAUUUUGAAGUUCGAUUAUGGCACUUACCUCAUUGACUUGAUGUUGCUGUGGCAUGCUCCUUUGUCCAACACCUUCGUAUUGUUGAGCGUUCAACGCUCGAUUAGCAAUCAACAUCUUUGCAGCCGUAGGGGUCUUGUCCACCAAUGCUCCUCCCGCUGAGGCAUCUAACAUUUGCCGUUCGAUUGGUAGAAGUCCCUCGUAGAAAUAUUGUAAAAGAAGCUCCUCCUUCAUUUGAUGCUGUGGACAUGAAGCAACAAGAGAUUUAAAACGUUCGUAAUACGUAGGAAAAGACUCACCUUCAUCUUGUUGAAUUCCACUUAUCCUUUUUCGUAGGAGGAUGACUCGAGAAGUUGGGAAAAACUUCUCCAAGAAAGCUCGUUUCAUGCUCUCCCAUGAUGUGACAGUUCCGGGAGCCAAUUCGUACAACCAAUCUUUCGCCUUCUCUAGGAGAGAAAAGGGAAAGGCCUUCAUCUUCAAGAUGCUCUCAUCCACGUUCACCGGAGUCAUGCUUGAGCAAACGACUUCAAACUCUUUCAAAUGCUUGUUCGGAUCUUCCAUGGACAGCCCAUGGUACUUCGGAAUGUGAUGUAACAAGCUUGACUUCAAUUCGAACUCGGCAGUUUUAUCCGGAGCCGCCCUAGGGUAUUGGAUACAUAGGGGUGCGGCAUUAUCCAAUCCCGACGCGAAAAGCUCCUUGAUUGUUCGGUUGUCCGCUGCCAUGUUUUCCACUUCCUCUUCCAAUUCAGAAACGGACUCCGAACUUGCACUUGAUUCACUAGGUUCCGGGUUCUUCCUCUUUCGUCUCAACUCACGCUCAAAAUCGUCGUCAAAGUCUAAAAUAUGUUCGUGAACCGGAUUAGAACUCCGAGUCAUAAACAAGUACCUAAAACAAGAAACAAAAUAACAAACUCAGAAUCUGGAACGAAUUAAAACUGAAAUAAAACAAUCCAAGGGAUUAGCAAAGUUGCUAAUCCCCGGCAACGGCGCCAAAAUUUGAUGUGAAAAUUAUGUUGACACUCAAAUUAACCCUCUUUUUAUCAAUUGUAGCAAGUAUGUAAGUAGGGAUCGUUCUAGGCCGGGGAUUAGGAGGGAUUGCAAAAUCACUUGGACUUGACUCAAAAAUGUAAAAACAAGUUUAAAACACUAACUAGACUCAAAGAAUGUAAAACUAAACUUUAAAAUUAACAAACCAAAAGACUCAAAACUGCCUUAAAACCACUUUCUGGGAAGUUUUGGACACUAGGGAAGAAUUUGGACGAAAAUUGGUUUAAACUUGACUCAAGACACCUAAAAACACAAACUAAAUGGGUUUCUAACUAAUAUGACACUUAAAACUAAAGGGGGAUUGAUUUUGGACGAAUUUUGAAAACAAAACAAAACUUUGUAAAUUGAAAAGACUCUAAAACGAAUUUGGUUUAAAUGGAUGGAUGGAAGGCUAGCUAAGGGGUUCAUCUCCACACAUGUCACACUUGCAUAUAAAACGAUCUCUAAUUGCUUUUCAAUAAACCAUGAAUUCCCAACGCCCCAAGUUAAUUAGGUCCGCUUAAAUUAACCUUCAGAUUUUCCUAGUGUUAUUGAAUUGGAUGAUUGCAUACGACAACCCAAAGCAUUCCCCACAAGUCCCCUACAUGAUUGCAUAAUAGAGAUACAAGCAAGAAUCAUUAAGUUCUAUGAAAACCAUAAGCAUUGACGAGGCACUUGUUACUAUGAUUGCAUGAAACUUAUGCCAAAGAAUUUACUUAACACGAUUGUGAUCAACAACCUUUACUACUUGUGAAUAUAAGUUCAUAACGAUUAGGUGAAAAUUCCCUUAUAUCCUAGCAUCAAAUUCAUGCAUGCAAACUAAGUGUCGACCCUCAAUCAACAUACAAGAAUAAGUUUUAAUUCACAUAGAUAAGCAAAUUGAAAUCACAACUUAUGAAACGCAAUUAAAAGUAAUCAAAUCAUAUAGCAAGCAUAAUCAUGGUUUCGAAUCCCCCCCUAGCCAAGGGGGGUUUAGUUCCUCAUACGCACAAAACAAAGAGUAAUAAGUUUAAACAUUGAAUUUAAAGGAAAGGAAACACCUAGAAAUUCCAACGGUGUGAACUUGAAUUGCAUGAACUUCCAAGCUUUCUUCUCCUCCUCCUUGGUGCGGCAAAGGUCUAGGACAGGUUCUUUGGGGUUAUGGAUGGUGGAGAAGGUUAUGGAUGGAUGUAGUAGUGUUUUAGGGGAAGGGGAUGGUGCGGCAAAGGUGUGGAGAAGUAUUUGGACGAAUUUGUAGAGUGAAUGAAUGUGUAUGAGAGGUGGUGCCUUAAAGGGUGCAGCAAUGAGUUGUAUAUAUAGGCAGAAAAUCCCUCUCCUAGGUAGCAAAGGACAAGGUUUAAAAGACCUAAACUGCAUAGGAUAAUAACAUACAAUCCUACUAGGAAAACAAGUCAAAAACCCAAAAGGAAUGGGAGAUAAGGUGCAGCAGAAAGAGUGUGAAAUGAUAAGGCUUCUAGAAACCAAAAUCCCAAGGGAAAUAGGGUAGAAAAUUCGGCACAAAGGCUAGGGUUCUAGAAGAUAAUGCAAGGCAGAUUUUUAGGGGCUUCUAGAAAGGUUCUAGGCGCCAUUUAUGUAGGAUAAGAUUAGGUCUUCUAGAAAUCCCAUUUUAAGCAUCUUAAUCUAGUUAGAAACCCUCCUAAGUGGCUGGAAUGUGGAUAGUUUAGGAUUAGGAUAAGAUAGGAUAGGAUAAGGUUGGUUUGGAUAAGAUAAGCUAAGAUAAGGUUAUGGAUGAGGUUUUGGAUAAGGUUCCUUAUCUUGAGCUGAUUUUUUACUUUAACUCUUC
rnacentral:lncRNA from 1 species